rnacentral:rRNA from 1 species
UACGUAGGGUGCGAGCGUUAAUCGGAAUUACUGGGCGUAAAGCGUGCGCAGGCGGUUCGUUGUGUCGGUGGUGAAAUCCCCGGGCUUAACCUGGGAAUGGCCAUGGAAACUGGCGAACUGGAGUGUGGCAGAGGGGGGUGGAAUUCCGCGUGUAGCAGUGAAAUGCGUAGAGAUGCGGAGGAACACCAAUGGCGAAGGCAGCCCCCUGGGCUAGCACUGACGCUCAGGCACGAAAGCGUGGGGAGCAAACAGG